rnacentral:rRNA from 1 species
UGGUGGAGUGAUUUGUCUGGUUAAUUCCGAUAACGAACGAGACUCUGGCCUAUUAAAUAGUUCGCCGAUUCCGAUCUGUCGGCGUUAACUUCUUAGAGGGACAAGUGGCUUUUAGCCACGCGAGGUUGAGCAAUAACA